rnacentral:rRNA from 1 species
GAUGAACGCUAGCGGCAGGCUUAAUACAUGCAAGUCAAGGGGGUAGCAAUACAACCGGCGCACGGGUGAGUAACACGUACACAACAUACCAUAUACUGAGGUAUAGCUUCGGGAAACUGAAGGUAAUCCCUCAUAGUAUUGUGAAAGGGCAUCUUUUUACAAUUAAAGUUUCGACGGUAUAUGAUUGGUGUGCGUUUGAUUAGCUAGUUGGUAGGGUAACGGCCUACCAAGGCAACGAUCAAUAGCUGGCGUGAGAGCGCGACCAGCCACACUGGAACUGAGACACGGUCCAGACUCCUACGGGAGGCAGCAGUAGGGAAUAUUGGACAAUGGGCGAAAGCCUGAUCCAGCCAUGCCGCGUGAGUGAUGAAGGCCUUAGGGUUGUAAAGCUCUUUUACCAGGGAUGAUAAUGACAGUACCUGGAGAAUAAGCUCCGGCUAACUCCGUGCCAGCAGCCGCGGUAAA